UAUGUGUAAUCGCCGCGGGCCGCCCCGGGGAGCCUGCUGCAAGCAAUUUCUUAAACCAUCAGUUUUCCAAGUUCUGAACAGCAAACCUUUCAAAUUUAAAACAAAAUAUGCCGCGCAAUUGGAAAACGCAUUCGUUUCAGUACUGAAACCAUGUUGUUGUCGAGAACGCGUUUUUCAAACCGCCUUCAACCCACCAGCUUUUUUGCAAUUAUACUUAGGGGCGGGUGCCCAGGGAGUGGGGCAGAACCAUUUGUGCAUUAUUGGGUUGGUACCCAAUGGUGGCUGAGUGGUGUCUGUAUGUGCACUGCACAGUAUCUGGCUCUUGUUGGGUUACACAGUAAUGUGUGUGACAUUACUUGCAUACGAAUGCAUUGGUGCAUAUGUAUCAUGUGAACACCAGCUGGGUGGGGGACUGUGGAAUGAUAUACAGGUUGACACUUGCAUAUAUCAACAUCUGAUGAAGCAAUGUGAAUUGUGAUUGGCGUGGCAUCUAAAGCAGUACACCCUUGUACGUGCUUGCUGUUGUGAA
rnacentral:misc_RNA from 1 species